UACGUAGGGUGCAAGCGUUAAUCGGAAUUACUGGGCGUAAAGCGUGCGCAGGCGGUUGUGCAAGACCGAUGUGAAAUCCCCGGGCUCAACCUGGGAACUGCAUUUGUGACUGCACAGCUUGAGUGCGGCAGAGGGGGAUGGAAUUCCGCGUGUAGCAGUGAAAUGCGUAGAUAUGCGGAGGAACACCGAUGGCGAAGGCAAUCCCCUGGGCCUGCACUGACGCUCAUGCACGAAAGCGUGGGGAGCAAACAGG
rnacentral:rRNA from 1 species